AUAUACGUCCAAAAUAGUGAAUCCAUGAACAAUAGAUCAAUGGAAGAAGUAAUCUAAUGACGUUAGACUGCAAAGACCUUCUUCACAUAACCAUAAUGUCUAAAAGGUUCUUGGUCAUAGGAUUGUCAGAGGGACACUGACAAUACCUAGACCAGUACAUACUAUGUCCCCUUCAAAUAGGAAGGAUGGAAAGUCUCAAGCCAUUCGUGUAGUGACACUACAAAAAGUAUGUAGGUGCUCAUUAAAGGAAUGAGUUCACUGAACACAAUCAAACAAGAGUACUUGCAUGGAGGUCUACUCACAUGUCAAGCAAGUAACUCUAUUGGUUGGAAUAAUGAAAGUAAUCCUUUGACUGGAGACGUCAUAGUUGUCUUGGGGAUACGUUGCUGAUCAUUUGAUAAUGAGACGUGACCAUAUCUUAUCUUGGAUGUGUUCUAUGCAUUGUUGGGGUCAGUGAUUUAUUCUCAGAGGCAUGUGAAUGAUCAAUAAGGGAUCUCUAAUCCUCGUUAUGAGAGGAAGAAUACUCUUAUAUAUGAUUUAGGAAUCUUCGGCCGAAGUAUUGAGAGUAAUGAUGGAAGGUGUUCCUAUACGACUCAAUUCAAUCAUAUAACUUGGUAUAAUCACAUUACGGGUUUGACAUUAACUAUCCAUACCCUAGUAAUGUGAUUGUGAGUAUUGUAUUAAAGAAGGAUGGAAUUACAUUGUAUUUCCAAAUCUAUCAAGGUGGAGGAAACAAGUAGGGAAGCUAGACUCAAAGAGUUCCAAGAAUAAAGAGCUUGGAGGUGGUCUAUCCCUGGUCUAAAGUCUAGAUCAAGAGGUAUAAAACUCAACCUUCACUUUGUUCUUCAAAAUUUUGUGUGAUGCAUCAUAUAUGAACCUAUGCUUCUUGAGGGGAUUUGCAUGACUAUAGCUUUGAUAAUAUGUGAUAAUAUGCUUCCGUUGUUUAUGUAUAUAAAUUUAGAAUUGUAUAUGCAUGCUAGUCACUUGAAAUCCCACUAUAAAUCUCAUUAUUUCACCUUCUGAUCAGACUUAGCUUGGGUCCUCCCCUCGAGCUCAGAAUCAGAAGAUUAUACAACAUAAGAUCUUGCCCGACGAGGAACCCUAGUCUUUGCUUCGGACCCAUCUUUUGUCUCUAAUUCACUAAACAUCUCUGAGAUGUUCCCAACAUCCUUAGGAACAUAGCUCGAG
rnacentral:lncRNA from 1 species